rnacentral:rRNA from 1 species
UCCGGUUGAUCCUGCCGGAGGUUACUGCUAUCGAGGUUCGACUAAGCCAUGCAAGUCGAAUGUAGCAAUACAUGGCGUACUGCUCAGUAACACGUGGACAACCUACCCUUAGGUCGGGGAUAAACCCGGGAAACUGGGUAUAAUACCCGAUAGUCCUCGGAUGCUGGAAUGCACCGAGGUCUAAAGCUCCGGCGCCUAAGGAUGGGUCUGCGGCCUAUCAGGUAGUAGUGGGUGUAGCGUACCUACUAGCCUACGACGGGUACGGGUUGUGAGAGCAAGAGCCUGGAGAUGGAUUCUGAGACACGAAUCCAGGCCCUACGGGGUGCAGCAGGCGCGAAAACUUUACAAUGCUGGAAACAGCGAUAAGGGGACCUUGAGUGCCAGGUUACAAAUCUGGCUGUCGUGAUGCCUAAAAAGCAUUGCAUAGCAAGGACCGGGCAAGACCGGUGCCAGCCGCCGCGGUAACACCGGCGGCUCGAGUGGUAACCGCUAUUAUUGGCUCUAAAGGGUCUGUAGCCGGCCGGAUAAGUCUUUUGGGAAAUCUGGCAGCUUAACUGUCAGGCUUUCAGAGGAUACUGUCUGGCUCGAGGCCGGGAUAGGUGAGAGGUACUUCAGGGGUAGGGGUGAAAUCUUGUAAUCCUUGAAGGACCACCAGUGGCGAAGGCGUCUCACCAGAACGGACCUGACGGCAAGGGAC